UACCCAUAGGAUGUAGCAGGUACCUUCCUUUGUGUUGCGCAGCUCCAUCGGAACACCCCUUUCGACGACAAAUUCCUCUUUUUUUCAGUUAACAGUUCUGGGGCAGGGGAUGGUGGGAGGCCCAGAGCCGACGUAGACCGAGAUGAAGAUGAGGAAGACCAAGAGCAGAAAGAGGCUGGCUGCUGCGGCGGCCACAGCGAAGACCUCCAUCCGCCGCGCAGUCUCCCGCAGCGGGUACUCGCGGGUUGAGGCCAGCGCCGCGUUGCCAUGGGAACCGCGGCGGCGCCUCUGCGGAACCCUGCGUUUAUUACCGGAGAAUUGACUGCGCGGACGCCGCCCCCACCCCUGGGGCUUAGGGACGCGCAUCCUCCCCGCUCCCGGUCACCUUGUGCAGAGAAAGCAGAAAUCAGACGCGGCGUGAAGGACGCAGUGCAAACGCUUCGUAAGCAUUGCCUGAUGGCGGAGCCAGACGCCCUUGGUGGAGGCCCACGCGAGAUCGGCCGGGACAACCAACCCCUGCUUCCCCGCCGAUCCUGCGCGUUUCCCAGGCCCGGGUGCUACGCGGAACGCAGAGAGCCCCCCUCGCUGGCUGGGGCUUCGCCGACACUCUGGAACCCCGCCCGGGGGAGGAACCGCAGCGCAGAGCCCCGCAGAUUGGAGACAGAGGCCGGACGUGGGCGUUUUUGAUGAACCGUUCCAAAGCCAGGCUGCGUUUUACUCCUCCUCGCCCUCGCCCCGCAGGCUCUGGAAGGGGAGGGAGGGAGCAUAAAAGACAUUUACCCCGAGUCCUAGUUAUUGGAACAUGUCCCUAACACGCCGUCUGUCCCGGGUGCUAGAAACAUACUGCAGAAAGACAAUGUUUGGGUAAUUAAUAAAGAGACAAUAACCCGGCUUCCUUCCAAACACUCGCUGCCCAUAGCAGUUAAAAACGCUAGGCGGGAGGCCCUGCGAGGUGCGGAGCCCUGCGCGGCCGCCUUCGGGACGACCCGACUGCGCUCCUCCCGGCCGGAUUUCCACCGGUCACGUAAUUAGGAGAAACGCAGAAGGCAGAUGAUUCCCCUUUUACUCGUCACACUUUCUCCUCCCCGGUCACUGGCGAAGCCCCUGCCCCGGAGACAUCCGGCUCCGCGCCUGGGCCUGAAAAAUCUGCCUCAAGGGAGCGAAGGUCUUGUCGCUCCAGGUUAUAAAUAUUAAUAAGCUGAAAGGCUCGGCAUAAUAUCUCCCUUUAAUUGCAACUCAACCAAAAAUCCAGCCUCCUGCCACUCAGGCCUCACUAAGUCGGGAUUGCUGCGGUUUGGUGUCAGGAGACUCCCCCGGCCCAAAGCCGUUCUUUGUAUCCGCUGCCCAACAUGGAAACCAUAUGCUGCGCCUCUCGGCGUGUUAACAUCACCCUCAGAUUCGAGCUGACUCCCCUUCGACUUUCAUUCGCUCGCCUGCAUCCCCCGGCCGCUGGGCGCCCUCUGUUUCUCUCCCUACCUCCAGGGGACCCCGACUCUCUCCAACCCGCCCCCAGCCCCGACCUCACGCUACUGAGGCAGUAGUUUGAAGGGUUUGACAAACUGGGAAGGCCCUUAGCGGGGGGAUGGGAAGAGCCUCGGGUUUGACCCGAAGGCACCUGUGGCGGCCUCGCCCCGGAGAGGCCUGCGGCCGCGGAAGGGCUCAGUCCGCCGGCGGCCAGUGAGCUGUCGGUCGCAGGCCGGGCCUAGGCAGUGGCCCGGGGCGUCGGAAUCCCUCCGCCCAGCCGGUCGCUUCUGCCCCGAGGGCUGCUCCCGGCGCCCCGAAGGAGCGGCGUGCGGUUGAGCAGGGGCUCUGGGUUGCUGGGGGCUGCUGCUCCUGGGCUCAGCGCGUGUUCCCCGGGUCGGAGGUGGGGGUGAGGACAUGGGCUGUUGCCCGUCGCCGAGCGUCCUCGCAUCGCGCCGCCAAAGGUGCUAUGGAAUACAGAAGCAGUACGAAGCAAUACGUCGUUUUGUGCAGAAGCAAUACGAAGUUGACCUAGCAACUGCUGUUCCCAAGAUCACGGCCAGCAGAGUGCGCCCUGAGUGGGGAGGGGUGCUGUGAUGGACGUGAGUGGCUCACGGACCUUGAAGAAUCCCACAGAUUCCCUUCCGAAGGCCAGCUUCUUUGAGCCCCUGUUCAUGAAUCUCACACUUCAAAAUCACAUGUCAGUAGACUGUUGAUCCUUUUAGGCACCUGGUGUCCCUGAGCAGUCCUAUUUAGGAAACACAGCACUACAUUUGGGGGGGGGGUUUGCUCAAAUGAAACAUCAGCUCAUGGAUGAAACUUAAGCGGGAUAAAUGUUCGACCUAGAAAUAAAACCUUACUAAACAAGAGAAAGCAUGGCAUGAUAGAAAGAAUACAGCUGUUAGAGGCAGACACCUAGGCUUGAAUCCUUGCCUCAGCUGUGUGACAAAGGGUGGAUUUCUCAGCCGGGCACAUCGUCGUUGUAGCUAUGCUGUGAUGAUUACGAUAUCAUCCAUGAAAGCACUUAAUUCAUGGGAGCAACUGUCCCCAAAAGGAAGACACUCACGUUGCUCCGAUGGUACAUCUGGGGGCUCUCAGGGAAGCAGCGGCACCGGGAGCGAUUUGGAAGAAAGGAUUUAUUAUAGGGAUUAGAUGAAUCCAGGCUGCUGCUGCCUAAGCCAUCGGUGAUCCCCAAGUCCUGAUAGAUGAGCAGGGCUGGCAGUUGGGAAGAAGAUCUGGAGACAGAUGGCAGAGAGUGAAGACCAACUGGAGUGCACAGGGACAAACCAAAAUCUCUCUGCCUUUUCUCUCACUGACCACAACUGGGAGUCCCAGGAGGCCUGCAGGGUAGCUGGUACCCUUCACCUUGGAACAGCGUGCACACCUAGCCCAGGCCUCAGAGGAGUCGAGGCAGGUGAGCUUGUGCGAGCCACAGGAGCGCCUGCAGGGGCCUCUCCACCCUGACAAGGUGAGCCAACAGGUCACCAGCAGGCGCUGCAAGGCCCUUGCUGUCCUACCCAGACCCUCAGGGUGUCUUGGCUGCCACUUGGCUUCCGCCUUUCUAAUCUGGUGCACAUUUCUCCUAGCCAGAUCUCACCGGGACCUUGCUGGAAAGGAGGUUCAGGGGAACCGUGUCAGGUUCACUCAGCUGACCCAAAACUAGCCUCACAGAUGGGAAGCACAUGUUGCUCUGCAGCCACAGAAUAGGCUUCUCUGCCCUUCUGUGGUCUUGCAUCCUUCCUUGCCCUGCCACAUCCCACUCAGACCCUUCGCACUUGGACAGCUCUCUGUGGAGUCCGUCCUUGGUCACAUGGACACUCUGUUAGGUCCAGGGGACAAGACUGUGAGAUAAAACAGCUGUUUUAACAGACUACCCUUGUGACAUUAAUUUAGUGACCACACACAUAAAUGUACACGUCCAGCUAUGGUCAAGGCCCCAGCAGAGAGCACGCGUGGUCUCUUGAGAAGACACAGAAGGAGGAUUUCGCCUAACCUAAGAAAACACCUGGAAACCCAGAGAUUAAAGUAUCACUUCUCUCAACCUCCAGAGUCGUCUGAAGCACCGAUAAUGCUGUUGAUUCUCAUCAGCUCCUGUGGGUUAGUCUCAGACCACCGGCAUCCCUGAUGCGUAGCCCUCAUAGUGGACCAAAAUAAUGGUCGUCGAAGAUGAUAUCAAGAUCUGAAGAAACUUCUCAGAGUUGCGUUAUUCAACGAGUUCAUUUCUUAGGGAAUUCCAGUUCAUGUUCCAGUGGAAAGCUGAGUCGUGGAGAAGGGGACAGGAAUGGAACGCUCAUGUGGUGUCCCCCACGUUGCUUACCCCGGGGGUCAGUGGGACAUCCCACUGAUUGACUCAUUUUGCAAAGCUCGUGGCCCUUCGUUGCUUCCCCAGCAUCCAAGGUACCGUGUCAGCAGGAAAACUCAUUACCUGCCUGCCUGGUUCCGCUGUCUCAGCUCCUUCUUGGAAGCAGGUGGCGUCUCCAUGAUGAAUACAUUAAAGAGAAAAAAGAAAGAAAACAUUCCUGGGUUGUUGUUAGACCGGCUUCUUACUGGAGACACAGUCCUUCUUCAAGCAGGCUCUCACUCUCUGCUGAUAUUCUAUGCGUCUGCCAAAACCAUAUAAAAAUCAUUCAUGGAGAAAAGUUCCCAGCGCCAGCAGCCAAUGCAGUCCCUUCCCGAUCUGAAGUUUAACGCUGGCCUGGAGACUGGUGAGGACUGGAUGUUGGGGAAGAUCCUGAGUGAGGAAAGCUUGAAGGGAAGAUGAAUGUAUUCAGUGUCUAGCGGUCCCCGCCCCGGGGGGAAGGACGCACACCCUUCACUUCAUCACAGCUAAAGCUGAAAAGAGACACAAGUUUGUGAUAUUUCUCAGUGACGUAUACCUUCUCAUCUGUCUGGAAUUGUUUUCUGCCAACAAGGAGAUGCUGCUUAAAAAAGCCCAACCCAGGAAACCCUGGCAGUUUGCAGUCAUCAGUACUUAAUAUCUGCGCUUUCCCGGUACAAGACAUCCUGUCUCCCUUUCCUCCUUAAAAAGUAGGAGUUACAGAGAGGGUCAGAGGGAAAAAUGCUUGUCUGUAGUAAGGAAUGGCUUUGAUGAGACGCACACGCACACGCACUGCCCAUGGCAUUUAGAGUCACACAAACUUGCCUUGAGCCGACAGUCCUACGGUGACAUGGGCCAUAUAUUCAAGACCUUCGAGACAGAUAAGAAUUCUGAAGUCCCCCGUGAUUACACUGUGAGAGGAAGCCUUUGUUUAGCUCUUGGCAGUGUUCGCAGGACAAUGGGCUGCCAGUGAUAUAUGCAAAUGUGUCCUUUCCCCAUUACUGGACGUGACCUUUAUGAUUAGAUUGGAAGAGCAACAUCAAUUCCUGGGUUAAUAGGACUUAUUGGCCUAAAGGGAGGGAGCAUGUUCUCCUGGCAAGCCUGAAAAACUCAGAAUCAGACCCACCAAAUUCUCAUCUUCAUCACAGCCCCAGGGUUCUUGUGUGGCUAGAGAAAUCCUUCACCUUCUGUGCCUUGUUUGUUCUUCGGAAAUCAGGGGAAAGCACCUUUCUCAGGAGCCUUAGGAGCCUUUAAUAAGAGUUUAAAAGUCAGAAGAGAUGGCAUAAAUGCUAUCACGAUGUUUCAGAUCUCCUUGCAGGACCCUUUUCAGAUUAUUCCUAACCUCCAGUGCCAUGGGCUAAUUCCAGCCAGCUUCAGAGACAACCGUAUCCAUAAGAAUCAUCAUGAAACAGAGUUAAGGGUUACUGAUUAUCCGCAAAAACUGUUCCAUUGCAGUUACACACAAAAAAUGCGAGAAGGUGACUUUCCUGGAGGAGUGAUACAGCCUCACCAAGCAGCACCCCUGCUCCAGCCACCCCUCAAAUCAGCUUUCCCCUCACUUCAGAAGCAAUGGAUUUAGCUGUAAUGUUACUGCUCUGUCUAUACUCAUCAUGGUUAUUUAUCUGCUCUGUGAUAACACUUUACAUUAAAAAAAAAAAAAAGCCUUAAAAUAACUUGACCAGAUUCUCCAAGUCAACAUGUAUUAAAAAUCAGGGGGAGAAAGACAGACUAACUUAAAGACACAGAACAGAGCUAGCGUGUGCUGACAAGUACCUACAGUCACCGACAAAGCAAGCAGAGAUGGAUGUGGGUACAUUUUUUAGUAACU
rnacentral:lncRNA from 1 species